rnacentral:lncRNA from 1 species
AUCAGCCCCUGCAACUAGGGGCUCUCUUGGAUACUUAGAGAAGAGAGAGCAGAACCAGGCCGAGCCCCAGGCCAGGCCAGCAAAUGAAUUCUACAGGGAAUGAACCUCUUGCCACAAAAAGAACUGGAAGCAGGUGGUCAGCAAGCCAGCACGAGAUUACAAUCAAUUUCUGGAAGGCAGAAGCAGAUGGAAACGUGUUGGUGAUGAAACAGGGCAGGAGCUGCAUCCCAAAAUACAGGCAGGUGGGCAAGUCUUCCUGGAAGGACCCAGAGAGGCCUGGGCUCAACCACAGGGAGGGGACAUUUGGGAAGCAUUGUUGGGAAAGAGCAGCAGGACACAACAAGGAAGGGGGACCCACCUCCUGCCCCUUAAGCAGGAAAGUCAAGGAGACUGGCCUGUCCCAUCAGGUCCCAACAGACAGCAUGUUCCUUCCUGCUCAGAGCAGCUCCUGGACCUGGGGCAACCAAAAGCAAAGUGAGACCUUCCCAAGUCCAGGCGAGGACUCUCCCUCACCUGGCUCUCCCUCCCUGUGACUGCUGACCAGCAAAAUGGGUUAUUCCAGAAAGAGCCCAACGCAGCCAGGGCCUCAGAGCUCAGGCCUCCUGCUUUGCCUGCCCAGGAGGGACCAGCCAGCCCAGCCCAACCUUCAGCUGCCCUGUGUCCAGGGUGUGCCUGGCAUGUGCCCAGAACACGACUGAUGCUGUGGGAGACAAAGAGCACCCCACCCGUAAGGGGUCCCAGCACUCACAGUAUGAUGCAAGCAAAUAAAGUCAACGGAUGACAGAGCACCCUGCAGGAACAUGAGCUCCCCACGUCCUCAGCUCCUCCUCCUCUAUCCCCACAGACACACACACCUGGGGCCUGGAGAUCCCAGUGAGGAGAAAUCCCUCAGGUGGCAAUUUAUACACCCCAGCCUGAUUCAGAGCUG